UAUCUCAUAAAAUAUGCCUGUUUCUUCCAAACAAUCAUCAGUGAUGGAGAUUUUCGAAAAUAUCCCUAACCAUACCGAGCCAACAUUAGAGAAAUAGUUCACAUGAAGUUUUGACAUACAAAUCUGUACGAUAGAUUUUCCGAAGUACAAACAAAAUGAAACUAAAAGUACAGAAAGUCGUUCUUAGAACCGAUUUAUUGAACAUAUCGUCUGACAAUGUCACGGUUAAUUGAUGGAUUAAAACAAAAUAACUCAGACAAGUGGAGAGUCUCCAUCAGAUAUUUAAUCGUGACAACUUGUUUUAUGUAAAUCAGCACUGCUUGUGUAAAGGAUCAAAGAAAUUUUAAAAUAAUUCUGGUCUCCGUUCUAUUUAUAAAUUACAGACAACGUUCUUUAGGAGUCACUUUUUAUUAUCCUUUCAUAAAACUAUUAAAUGCACAAUAAUUGGUGGUAAUAAUCAAACAAGGAACUUUCCUACCAGAUUUCUUCAUGAUUCAUAUCGUGACAUUGUUCACAGGGAAGCUAGAAAUCAGCGCAUGCGUGGCUUAUCCAUGGUCACAAUUUUUAAAAAUUAGUUUAUACAUGCAAAGUGUGUGUAACAGAAUCAUUAACCUGAACCAGAGACAUAUGGUAUAUACGUUUCUGCGUGGACGGGAAACAUUAAAGAAGGUAUAAAUUGAGGACCAAAUCAAGCUCAUUCUAAAGCGGACACUUGGACGAGUAGGAUCUAAACCCUCAGCGAUAAUCAGCAUUGGAAAAGGUAAUCAACAUACACUGAAUACUGAACAAAUCUACUUAGCAAUGGCCUUGUUGGGGGUCUAAGCAACAGCCUAAUUGCUCCAAAUCCAAACAUUGCAAUGGAAAACUUCCAGUUUCUGACGCAUUGCACGAAAUCACAUCUAAAGAAACCUAUACAGGAUACAAAAGUUUUAAUAAAGCAGCACACACCUGACAUAUGGGAAGCACCACUGGCACGAGACGAUGCUCCGCACGGCGUUUGGUUUGGAGUAACACUGUGGAACAGUUGUCUGCCAACUGUAUCUCCUUUUGGUACAGAACGUGUGCUGAAGCCAGUAGCGAGUCUACUUACGGACUUGGGCAGCUACAAUCUGAAUUUAUAUUUAGAAAAGAUUAUACCUGGAGAAAAUAAAACUUAUGUUAGACUCAUACUUCUAAGAGCUGAUGACAAAGAAAACGAUUGGUGUAAAAAACAUUGUCGUGAUCAACUUUAUAUCCAUAACAACCAAUAUCUGACCAUUAACAUGAUAAAUAACAUAUGGAUAUGCACGACACUGAAAAAUGGACUGGCAGGACAAAUGACGGACACCUGGGUGUAUUUGUUUAUUGCACGUAAUGUGGAUGUUACUGGCUGUGACUGGGAUAGAGUUGGACAUUACAAAUUCUGCACUCAAUGUAACCAGAGUGGUCAUUCCAACCCUGAAUGUCCCAUGGCAGUAUGUUUCAAGUGCAGGGGUCUCGGUCACUGGGCUGUGAACUGUCCUUUAAACUCCAUUUAGGAGCCACCUAGAUUGAUGCAACAUUUUGCUUGAAUGUCAGCAUGACUUUAGAUCCAUGGUAACAAGUUAAACUUUGAAUUAAUUAGCGAAAUUCAAAUAAAUAGUGAAUUUUGUUAAGAUUUUGCAUAUUUUUCAACUAUACAGCACAUGUUUGAAAAAGCUUAAUAUGAAAGGAGUAUUGUAGGCACCUGAGCUUAAUAUGUAAUUAACAUUAUGUUGCUUUCUAUUUACAUUGUUUAUAACACGUCAAUUUCAUUGAUAACAACAUUGCUAUGAAAUACACUGUAACACAUUAUACAAAGUUCAUUGACAUUGGAAUCGUCUAGGUCACACAACUCUUGGAUUUACAUUUACUUGUUGUUACAAAAGAUCCCAGAGGGACAUUGGCGGCCAUCAUAAGUUCUCCGGUGGUUCUAUGCAAGAUAGAUUUUUUUCUUCUAUUCUCAGAUCUGUUGUAUUAAGUCAUUUAAAACAGUAAACCCACCUUGUGGUAACUUUUGGUCAAAACUUCAUACUGCUGUGUAAAACAUUUUUCGAAGCGAGGCUGUCAAAUGAUAGACCAUAUUUAUAAGCAGGGUACUUAAGGUAUAACAAGAGGAACCUACAUUUGAAAAACUGUUAAGUACUUCUUGGGAAAUAGCGCUAACAAACUUUUACUAAAAAUUUAAGAGGACUGCCUGACGGUCAUCUUGCUUUGUCCUAUCAGCCUCAAAAUGAAACAUGCACAAUUUAAGACCAAUAAAAAUCUAUGUUAAAUUUGAUAAAGACCUAUCACGUACUUUUAAAGAAAUAGCAAUAGCAAAUUUAAACUCUUAAAAUCCAAGAUGGCUGUCUGGUUUCAAGAGGACCAAUGGGAACCUAUAGCUAUAUAUAUGAACAGAGAUCCUAGAAGGAUCGUGGCACCCAUCAUGAAAGGAUCUUUAUUAGAUCUACAAAAGAUGACCUUUUACCUUCUUAGCUCUUCAAAUUCUUUACAUGUACUAUUACCCAGUCCCAUGUUAGAAAUCCUGAAAGGGAAUUCUGUACAUUAACUUAAACCUUGUAAUGUCAUGUUAUUUGCAGCUAUGGCAAAUGUU